rnacentral:rRNA from 1 species
GUUGURUGAUGGAUGAAGGCCCUAGGGUUGUAAAGGUCUUUUGUGCGGGAAGAUAAUGACGGUACCRUAAGAAUAAGCCCCGGUUAAUUCGUGCCAGCAGCCGCGGUAAUACGARGGGGGGUAGCGUUGCUCGGAAUUACUGGGCGUAAAGGGCCCGUAGGCGGGUUUUUAAGUCAGGGGUGAAAUCCUGGAGCUAAACUUGGAGAAUUGCUUUUVAUACUGAAGAUUUUGAGUUCGGGAGAGGWGAGUGGAAUUGCGAGUGUAGAGGUGAAAUUCGUAGAUAUUSGACAAGAACACCAGUGGCGAAGGCGGUUCANUGGCCCGAUUAVUGACMMUGAGGCAMGAAAGCGUGGGGAGCAAA